rnacentral:rRNA from 1 species
UACGUAGGGUGCGAGCGUUAAUCGGAAUUACUGGGCGUAAAGCGUGCGCAGGCGGUUUUGCAAGACAGAUGUGAAAUCCCCGGGCUUAACCUGGGAACUGCAUUUGUGACUGCAAGGCUAGAGUGUGUCAGAGGGAGGUGGAAUUCCGCGUGUAGCAGUGAAAUGCGUAGAGAUGCGGAGGAACACCGAUGGCGAAGGCGGCCUGCUGGGCAGUUUUGCUGACACUGAGGCGCGACAGCGUGGGGAGCAAACAGG